rfam:Citrus clementina cultivar Clemenules unplaced genomic scaffold scaffold_3, whole genome shotgun sequence.
GCCCUUUUAACUCAGUGGUAAAGUAACGCCAUGGUAAGGCGUAAGUCAUCGGUUCUAAUCCGAUAAGGGGCU